UGAACAAACUCUGCCUAGAAUUUUCUUUAGC
rnacentral:piRNA from 1 species